rnacentral:rRNA from 1 species
AACGAACGCUGGCGGCAUGCCUAACACAUGCAAGUCGAACGAGACCUUCGGGUCUAGUGGCGCACGGGGGCGUGACGCGUGGGAACCUGCCCUUAGGUUCGGAAUAACUCCCCGAAAGGGGUGCUAAUACCGGAGAAUGUCAUCGGACCAAAGACUUUUCGCCUUUGGAUGGGCCCGGGUUGGAUUGGGUGGUUGGUAGGGUAAAAGCCGACCAAGGCGACGAUGCAUAGCUGGUGUGAGAGGAUGCUCCGCUACACUGGGACUGAGACCCGGCCCAGACUCCUACGGGAGGCAGCAGUGGGGAAUAUUGGACGCUGGGCGAAAGCCUGAUCCAGCCGUGCCGCGGGAGUGAUGAAGGCCUUAGGGUUGUAAAGCUCUUUUACCCGGGAUGAUAAUGACAGUACCGGGAGAAUAAGCUCCGGCUAACUCCGUG